rnacentral:rRNA from 1 species
AUGCGCUAUGAUGAGCGGUACACACCUUAUGUUAGGGAGGAAGGACUUCUCCCUUUCAUUGAGUUGGUCCGCCGGUCGACGCCACCCAACAAUGCUGCAGCACUCACCGCGCUUAUUGAUCAUUGGAGGCCGAAGACACACACUUUCCAUCUUCGGACCGGGGAGAUGACCGUGACGCUGCAGGAUAUCGCUAUGAUCACCGGUCUUCCUAUCGAUGGCAAUCCUUUAUGUAUGAACACCGAUUCUGAAGGGUGGCGCGCGCAGAUGCAUGCCCUUAUCGGUAUGGUUCCUCCGGAGCCUCGGGAGCCAGAAAGGGAAGAUAAGAAGAAGGAAAGAGUCGCAGCGGGCGCUACUUUCACGUGGAUAUCAUCGAACUUCGCUAAUUGCCCCGAUGAUGCUAAUGAGGACAUGGUGAAGACAUAUGCUCGUGUCUACAUGUGGUACGUGAUAUCGAGGACAAUGUUUGCUGAUGGCACAGGCAAGAAUGCUCCAUGGAUGUGGCUGAAGGCGUUGACCGUCUUCGAUAGCAAAUGGAGUUGGGGUUCGGCGACACUAGCUUACUUGUAUCGACAGGUAUGA